rnacentral:rRNA from 1 species
UACGUAGGGUGCAAGCGUUGUCCGGAAUUAUUGGGCGUAAAGAGUUCGUAGGCGGUCUGUCGCGUCCGUUGUGAAAGCUUGGGCUCAACCCCAAGUCUUGCAGUGGAUACGGGCAGACUAGAGUCAGGUAGGGGAGAACGGAAAUUCCUGGUGUAGCGGUGAAAUGCGCAGAUAUCAGGAGGAACACCGGUGGCGAAGGCGGUUCUCUGGGCCUGAUACUGACGCUGGAGGAACGAAAGCGUGGGGAGCGAACAGG